UCUACCUUCUUUCCUCUGUCUUCUUCUUCUUCUCAAUAACAUGUAUAUCUGAAAGCAAUUUUACAUUGGCAUUUUUGUCUUUUAUGUGCGAAUCUGUGGGUGAUCAGGUUACUGUGUAUCAACUGUAAAGUCAAACUCUCACAAACAAAAGAAAAAUGAACAAAUUUGCAAUUGAUUAUCAAUAAUCAAGUGUUCUCCAUAUGACUUUUUUCAUCUAGGAUGUUAUGUAUCUCUCGAUUCUUAAGAUGUUUUAAUGUAUGUUUUGAAAUUUUAAAACAUCUGCUGCUAUAUUAAAAGAUCUAUCAAUUGAUUGAUGAUAUUAUUGGUAUUGUGAGUAUCGUUGGAUGUCAUCAAUGCCACUACCAAAAUAUUAAGAUGCAUAGAGAAGAUUUGUUUGCUGGGCAGUUUUCUAUGUUAUUUAGGCUUUCAAAAACUUGGCUUUUCUUAUUCUGUAAAUAUCAAAAGUAUAAUCUGAUUUAAAUUUAAAUUACCAGUGUUUUUUUGUGCCAAUGGGUUCUUGGGUUCUCAUCCAUUCAAAUGCAGGCUUGCAGCAACAGGGCCAUUAACUUUAUCCUUUUGACGCAACUUAUUUGGUGAAUGUAAGAUAAGAUUUUGGUCAAUUACGAUUGAAAUAAUCAAGAUUCUUAUUAUAAGUGUCAUGUUAUAAUUAAUUCUACGAUUUCAAUGAUUGGCAGAACCAUUUUAGUACAAAUUGAGGACAAAUGUAGUUUAAUUAGUAUAAGAUUCUUAAGAUUCCUUUUAUAAGGUAUUGAACUGUAUGCAGUACAUUUCCAUAAUACUUUUUGUCAUAGUAUUUCGUUAUUAUUUUAUACUUAGACUACAUUUGGUUGGUGGGAUAGUAUAGGAUGAUAUAUGUAUAUCCUUGGAUAUCAUAUUCACCGGAUAGUAUAUGCAUAUCCUAAAAUAUCAUUUUAUUUCUAAUGGGAUAUGAUAUUCUUGGAUAUUAUAUCCAAUAGACAUGAUAUACUAAGAUAUCAUUUUUAAUGUAAUAUGUUAUGUCAUGCUUAUAUUUGGUUUGUAAAAUGAAUAAAGAAAAAUGGAAAACAUAUUUAGUAUUACUAAAAAAAUUAUUUUGCUUAUAUUUGGUUUAAAAUAAAAAUUAUAUUGCAUUGCAAUAUUUCCUAUAAAAAAAAUGAAAUCUCUCUCAUAUUUAGUAUUCCUUGAAAAUUGUUCAACAAUUUAAAAUUCAGUAAAUAAUUAUUUAUUUAUUAUAUUUAUAAUUAAAAUAUUUAAAAUUUAUAUUAUGUUAUUUAAUAUAUGAAAAUAAUUUGUUUAUAUAUAUAUAUAUAUAUAUAUAUAUAUAUAUUAAAUAAUACAUAUGUAUUAUUUUAUAAAUAUUUUUUUAGUUCUUUUUAAUUGCAAAUUUAAUUUUUCUAAUCAAAAUUUUUUGUUUUGCAAAAUAAGUGAUAUAAGAAAAUUAAAAAAAAAAAAUUGAUGAAAAGUAUACAUUUAUGAUACAUGGAUAUAUAUCAUCUCAUAUCUCAACUUAAGAUUAAUAUAUCUUAUAUAGAAGGGAUAUAAAAAAAAGGUUGGAUAAUAUAUUCCACUACUCAUCGUAUUCCUAUGUUUGGUCGAACAUAUGAUGAUUGAUGAGGAAACUUAUCAUAUUUCAUCACAAACCAAAUAUGAUAUAGGAUAUGUUAUCCUAUCACUUAUCCUAUCACAUGGUAAUUCCAAACAACCAAACAUGACCUUGAUGGUUUAGCGGGCUUGGCUUGUGUGACAAGGGGUUGGGAUGAGGAUCAAGGGGAUUCCAGUUGAGAUUUGUGUAACAGUAAAAAGAGAAUGUAUCAUGCAAACUAUAAAAAUUUAUUGUAUUACAUUUAAAUGUUAGAAACAUGUAAACUAAAUUUUAUUUGCCAAUGUAUCAUGUAUGGUAUUCCCAUCCUCAAUGGAUAUGUUUUAUUUGAAGCUCCUUUAACAAUAUUGUUAGUCCUUUCUGUUGAUAAACAUUUUGCCUUAUAUUCCCAAACUUUUAUUGGAAAUUUAUUUGGCAAAGCUUUUAUUAAAUUCAUACUUUUCCUUAUUUGACAAUUGACACUGAUGUUGACACUAACAUAUCUGUUGAGUCUGUCUAUUCUUUAAGAUUCUGACAUAUAUAUAUUAUAACAUCCAAUUUUCAAAAAUGGUGAAGUAUUUCUGUUUAUCAUGACGUUGAUGAGAUUACUAAUUGUUAAAUCAAUAGUGCUUCUGACCUUGAGCCUAAAAAGGGAAGAAGUAAGUGAAGGCUUAAAAUGCUGUUGUGUUUACUAAUUUAUUUUCUCAAACUUCUUGGGUAGAUUUGAGAAUGCCUUUUGCUUCUUCUCCAACAUUAUGAAUUAUGAUGGUUAUCUGACAAGAAUAAAAUGAUAUAUGGACAAAAAUUUCAUGUUGUGUAAAAACUAGGAACGUUUCUGAAGCAGUACAAGUUGAGGAAAUUGUUUGGAAGGCAAUUAUGUUGCAAGAGAAUCAUGAGCCUUACUGGGUUUUAAGCAAUAAGCAGGAAUUUCUGUUUCAGCAGCAGAUGGCACCUGAAGAAAAAGAUUAAGACUUAUUUCUAGCAUUCAAUAAUCCACCCUUAUUCAUUAGUUGCACUUAUUGCCCCUAUAGACCUUGAUUGUUUGCUACUUUUCAAUCUAAUUACGUCUGUUAUUUAAUUAUAUGGUUAUAAUUUGAAUCCACACUUCCUAUUACCUAGUCUUAAUAAUCUGAUCAAGAACUUGGCAUCUUCUAUUGCAUUCAUGUUGGUAACUCGGUAUUAUUCUUUUCAUUUGCACACUGUAGGUUGCUUUUCCAAAUCAUAUGAUGCAAAAGUAGAGGUAAGUUUCAUAUAAGAUUCUGCACUAAUGGCUAGUUUUAUGGACAAUGGUUGCACAUAAAUGGAUGGAUGACAUGUUGUGCAUGUAAUAACCAUUUGCAGAGAGGCAGGACUGCUCAUCCUAUGCAUACACCAAGAGAUUUUGCAGAUUGAGCCUAUUAUUAAUCUAAGGUGAUGACUAAUAAGUGAUGAUUUAGUAGCCUGAAUAUAUUUUUCAGGAGUAUUUUGUGAUAUCUCCAUCUCCAUUUUUAUUCUUGCUGCAAAAAGCAAAAACAAUGGAGUCACUGCACCUUCUUUAGUGCAUGGUGCUUGAAUUCGUCCUCUAGGUUUCUUGUUGGACGUGUAUUAUUCUGUCAAUUGGUAUAUCAUUAACUUUGGGUGAAUUUCUUGGAAGUUGU
rnacentral:lncRNA from 1 species